UUGCUCUUCAACGAGGAAUGCCUAGUAAGCGCAUGUCAUCAGCAUGCGUUGAUUACGUCCCUGCCCUUUGUACACACCGCCCGUCGCUACUACCGAUUGAAUGGCUCAGUGAAGCCUCCGGACUGGCUCGAAGAGGUUGGCAACGACCACUUCGAGCCGGAAAGCUGGUCAAACUCGGUCAUUUAGAGGAAGUAAAAGUCGUAACAAGGUUUCCGUAGGUGAACCUGCGGAAGGAUCAUUACCUAGAGUUGUAGGCUUUGCCUGCUAUCUCUUACCCAUGUCUUUUGAGUACCUUACGUUUCCUCGGUGGGUUCGCCCACCGAUUGGACAAACUUAAACCCUUUGCAGUUGAAAUCAGCGUCUGAAAAAACUUAAUAGUUACAACUUUCAACAACGGAUCUCUUGGUUCUGGCAUCGAUGAAGAACGCAGCGAAAUGCGAUAAGUAGUGUGAAUUGCAGAAUUCAGUGAAUCAUCGAAUCUUUGAACGCACAUUGCGCCCCUUGGUAUUCCAUGGGGCAUGCCUGUUCGAGCGUCAUUUGUACCUUCAAGCUCUGCUUGGUGUUGGGUGUUUGUCUCCUGUAGACUCGCCUUAAAACAAUUGGCAGCCGGCGUAUUGAUUUCGGAGCGCAGUACAUCUCGCGCUUUGCACUCAUAACGACGACAUCCAAAGGUACAUUUUUACACUCUUGACCUCGGAUCAGGUAGGGAUACCCGCUGAACUUAAGCAUAUCAAUAAGCGGAGGA
rnacentral:rRNA from 1 species